rnacentral:sRNA from 1 species
UGUGGAUGGUUGCUGAGCUGCGCAUUCGGCAUUGGGCUUGCUUUGUUUCCUGCCAGGCCCAGCAUUUUCUUAUACCAGAUCGGCAGGCUUGUGGGCUUCUUCCUAGGUCCCUCCCCUGCACUCUGAAUAGGAAAGCUGGAAGCUGUUCUUUAGAGAAGCUUUAAGACGCCGUAAGAAACCAGAAGAAAGCAUUUUGACUUGUUGAUGUCAAUUUGGAACAGCUGAAAAAAUACAGGAAAAUAAGAUAAAUACGUACAUGUUGAGGGUGGGGACAAAAUGAAGGUUCUGAACCAGCUGCCGGCUUACAGUAGCCAUAUAAGCAGCAGCAGCAAUGCACCAACCUGGUGGCAUGGAAUGUUCACAUGGGAGAGCCGCAUGAGGCCGCCCACCACGCUUCCUGAAGGAUGCCCGUGUGGAAGAAUUUUGACGUGCCAGUGUCCUCGUUCUACAGGGUGUUCCGUUCUUCCGCAAUCUCAGAAAAAUGGGACUAAAAGAAACUAGUUUGUAAAAUAAGAAGACUUCCAUUU